rnacentral:rRNA from 1 species
AACGCUAGCUACAGGCUUAACACAUGCAAGUCGAGGGGCAGCAUGAAGUCAGCUUGCUGACUUUGAUGGCGACCGGCGCACGGGUGAGUAACGCGUAUCCAACCUUCCCCUUACUCAGGAAUAGCCCGUUGAAAGACGGAUUAAUGCCUGAUGUUCUCUAUUUCCGGCAUCGGUGAUAGAGCAAAGAUUCAUCGGUAAGGGAUGGGGAUGCGUAUGAUUAGCUUGUUGGCGGGGUAACGGCCCACCAAGGCAACGAUCAUUAGGGGUUCUGAGAGGAAGGUCCCCCACACUGGAACUGAGACACGGUCCAGACUCCUACGGGAGGCAGCAGUGAGGAAUAUUGGUCAAUGGAGGCAACUCUGAACCAGCCAAGUAGCGUGCAGGACGACGGCCCUAUGGGUUGUAAACUGCUUUUAUGCGGGGAUAAAUGAUCCUACGUGUAGGUUUUUGCAGGUACCGCAUGAAUAAGGACCGGCUAAUUCCGUGCCAGCAGCCGCGGUAAUACGGAAGGUCCAGGCGUUAUCCGGAUUUAUUGGGUUUAAAGGGAGCGUAGGCGGCCUGUUAAGCGUGUUGUGAAAUGUAGAGGCUCAACCUCUGCACUGCAGCGCGAACUGGCGGGCUUGAGUUGGCUGAAAGUAUGCGGAAUUCGUGGUGUAGCGGUGAAAUGCUUAGAUAUCACGAAGAACUCCGAUUG